UACGGAGGGUGCCAGCGUUAAUCGGAAUUACUGGGCGUAAAGAGCGCGUAGGCGGUAGAGCAAGUCGGAUGUGAAAGCCCUGGGCUUAACCUGGGAAUUGCAUUCGAGACUGCUCGGCUAGAGUUUGGUAGAGGAAAGCGGAAUUCCGGGUGUAGCGGUGAAAUGCGUAGAUAUCCGGAAGAACACCAGUGGCGAAGGCGGCUUUCUGGACCAAAACUGACGCUGAGGCGCGAAAGCGUGGGGAGCAAACAGG
rnacentral:rRNA from 1 species